rnacentral:tRNA from 3 species
GCGAAUGUAGUUCAGUGGUAGAGCAACAGGUUUCCAACCUGUCGAUGUGGGUUCGACUCCCAUCAUUCGCU